UACGUAGGGUGCGAGCGUUGCCCGGAUUUAUUGGGCGUAAAGGGCGCGCAGGUGGUUCUGUGUGCUCCGCGUGAAAUCGCCCGGCUCAACCGGGCGGGGUCGCGGAUGACUACAGGACUGGAGCCUGGGAGGGGGAAGCGGAAUUCCCGGUGUAGUGGUGGAAUGCGUAGAUAUCGGGAGGAACACCAGUGGCGAAGGCGGCUUCCUGGACCAGAGCUGACACUGAGGCGCGAAAGCGUGGGGAGCGAUCCGGAUUAGAUACCCGGGUAGUCCACGCCGUAAACGAUGCAGACUAGGUGUCGGGGGUAUCGACCCCCUCGGCGCCGACGCUAACGCAUUAAGUCUGCCGCCUGGGGACUACGGCCGCAAGGCUAAA
rnacentral:rRNA from 1 species